GGUUAAAGGUACCCGUACCGCAAACCGACACAGGUGGGUGAGGAGAGUAUCCUAAGGCCAGCGAGAGAACUGUUGUUAAGGAACUCGGCAAAAUGACCCCGUAACUUAGGGAUAAGGGGUGCCACCAUCAGGUGGCCGCAGAGAAUAGGCCCAAGCGACUGUUUACCAAAAACAUAGGUUUCUGCUAAGUCGCAAGACGAUGUAUAGGAGCUGACGCCGGCCCGGUGCUGGAAGGUUAAGGGGAUCUGUUAGAGCAAUCGAAGCAGUGAACUUAAGCCCCAGUAAACGGCGGCCGUAACUAUAACGGUCCUAAGGUAGCGAAAUUCCUUGUCGGGUAAGUUCCGACCCGCACGAAAGGC
rnacentral:rRNA from 1 species